GACUUCCAAGAUGAAAGCUCUUGAUGGCCUUGUGGUCUGGAAAAAGAAAAGGACGACUGCAGGACCUCUCGUGGUGUGCUGGUUGAACAUCUUGCCCAUGAUGAAGGGGAAAGAAAAUAGGGCUGCUGCCGAUACUUAGUGCAGAUUGCUCGCUGUUCGAUGGAGUCGCUCUGUCCCCGGUGUCAUGGUGGCUGCUGUCAGAUGGCGUGGGCAAGCUGAAGGCCGCCACCUCCUGGAGCAAGGAAGCAGCUCCAGCAAGCAGAAAACACGAGGGGAGACAUGAGCAGAGACAUGACGGUUGCACACUUGGUCACAUCGUUUAGCAGACUCUCCACCACGUCAUCAACCUGGCCCUUAGACGGUUCUGAUCAUGUGGAGCACAGUGUGACAAACAGCCAUCAGCCAGUAAAAUCUUCUGAAAGCUGUGGAACUCUUCAAUUAGGACGACAUUACGAGCAAAAUGCCGCACGUGGACCAGCACAGAUGAAAAUGUACGCAUUCUAUCACAUCUUUUACCAUUUGUGGGUGUUUGCUGGUCAAUGAACUAUGAACUACAGUCCACACUACAACAAAGUAACUAAGAGGACCAGAAGAUAGAG